UGGGGAAUAUUGGACAAUGGGCGAAAGCCUGAUCCAGCCAUGCCGCGUGUGUGAAGAAGGUCUUCGGAUUGUAAAGCACUUUAAGUUGGGAGGAAGGGUUGUAGAUUAAUACUCUGCAAUUUUGACGUUACCGACAGAAUAAGCACCGGCUAACUCUGUGCCAGCAGCCGCGGUAAUACAGUGGGUGCAAGCGUUAAUCGGAAUUACUGGGCGUAAAGCGCGCGUAGGUGGUUUGUUAAGUUGGAUGUGAAAUCCCCGGGCUCAACCUGGGAACUGCAUUCAAAACUGACUGACUAGAGUAUGGUAGAGGGUGGUGGAAUUUCCUGUGUAGCGGUGAAAUGCGUAGAUAUAGGAAGGAACACCAGUGGCGAAGGCGACCACCUGGACUAAUACUGACACUGAGGUGCGAAAGCGUGGGGAGCAAACAGG
rnacentral:rRNA from 1 species